UUAGCAACCAUUUUAAAGUUAUCCGUAUGAUUUGAGAAAAUAUAAAAAAUUAACAGUGCUGGUGAAUUUAAUGAGCGCCAAGUGAGCUUCAUUGCUCUGGUUGGAUCAUCGCACACUCACACCCACAAGUGACUUUUGUUUGGGUUUUUCAACUCGUGUCGCUGCUUUGUUUUUGUUCCCGAUUAUACCCAUUAUCCGUGUUCAAAAUGGGAAUAUUGUUUUUACUAAAACAAAAGCAACAGGGUGUGUUGUUACCUGUUUUAACACCUGGGCGAAAGGUUAACACUCGAAGGACGCACUAGGGAGCCUCUGACUUAAUAUCUUAGGAGUAAUCAAGAGGAGUCCAUCUCGACAUUGGCGGCUCUUGCUGCUACAAAGUUGGCCACCUCGAUUGCGGCACCGCCAUUGGCAUUGGCAUUGGUAGCCUCGUCACCGCCACCAUCUUGCGAGCCA